UACGGAGGGGACUAGCGUUGUUCGGAAUUACUGGGCGUAAAGCGCACGUAGGCGGAUUUGUAAGUCAGGGGUGAAAUCCCGGGGCUCAACCUCGGAACUGCCUUUGAUACUGCAAAUCUCGAGUCCGGAAGAGGUGAGUGGAAUUCCUAGUGUAGAGGUGAAAUUCGUAGAUAUUCGGAAGAACACCAGUGGCGAAGGCGACUCACUGGACAUGUAUUGACGCUGAGGUACGAAGGCGUGGGGAGCAAACAGG
rnacentral:rRNA from 1 species